rnacentral:lncRNA from 1 species
CAGAUUACCCCUCGUGCGUCGGUUUCGGCGUUUAUUGUGAAAUUUUGACUGCGGGUUGAGGUCUCGCCUCUCACCGAGAUCAUGAUGAAAAGUGAAACCGCGGUGCCGGCGAGUGUCACGUCGCACCAGCCGCUUGAUGCUGCGUGGUGAGGCCUGGGGCGCGGGCGGCGGGAUCCGGCUGUAGAAUGUAGGCAACUGUGACAAGGACACGCCUGUACUCUGCACUAACACUUCCAUCCAGUUUAUAACGUGCACGGCGCGCAUUUCGCAACGAUUGCUCGCGCUCGCGCCCAGCCCCACUUCACCGAUGCACGCUCGUGAGCGAUUACCUAUCUACAAGUAAGUGGGUGUGAACACGAGAUCAAUAUGGCGACCUUCGCACAGUCCGCGGUUGGGUGGACAUGACGUCAUGACCGGCUCGGUGCAACUAGAGCGAGAUGAAGUGAUGCAUCCCAGCACAGCUGUCCUAUGCAUUUUAUAUAUUGUAUUUACCAUGUAAUAAUAUAAUAGGGACAAGAUAAACGUUGUGUUUAAUUGAAAAGACUUAGUUUACACGUUUUUUUU